GGGGGGUCAGCCCCCCGCCCGGCCAGCCGCCCCGUCCGGGAGGGAUCACUGGAUACUGCAAGGCAAUAUAGAUGGUAGACGGGCAAGAGUGGAAGCAUCUCUCCAAUUUGAAGAAGAUGGCAAAACGUUGCCCUUGCAUAACAUCAGAAGAUCCCUAAUGUCUGCCUUGAAGAGCUCUCGACAAUAGCAGCAAUGAACUACAG
rnacentral:lncRNA from 1 species